CCCCCUUCUUAACUUAAUUUGGGAAAAAUUGAUUUACCUAUAAGGAUAUAUGUAAAAUCGAUUUUAGAUUAACAAAACUUGCAGCAAUGUUGACCCCCAAACUAUCCGAUUUACAGCAGAUUCCAUUGAGUGUGUAGCGAAAGGUAAUAUCUUUGGUUAGCUUGCUUGUUAGCUGAACCGUGAAGUCAUUAUAAGGUCAGG
rnacentral:lncRNA from 1 species